rnacentral:rRNA from 1 species
GGGGAAUUUUGGACAAUGGGCGCAAGCCUGAUCCAGCCAUGCCGCGUGUCUGAAGAAGGCCUUCGGGUUGUAAAGGACUUUUGUCAGGGAGGAAAUUCCUAGCGCUAAUAUCGCUGGGGGAUGACAGUACCUGAAGAAUAAGCACCGGCUAACUACGUGCCAGCAGCCGCGGUAAUACGUAGGGUGCAAGCGUUAAUCGGAAUUACUGGGCGUAAAGCGUGCGCAGGCGGUUGUGUAAGUCUGAUGUGAAAGCCCCGGGCUUAACCUGGGAACUGCAUUGGAGACUGCACAGCUAGAGUGCGUCAGAGGGGGGUAGAAUUCCGCGUGUAGCAGUGAAAUGCGUAGAGAUGCGGAGGAAUACCGAUGGCGAAGGCAGCCCCCUGGGAUGACACUGACGCUCAUGCACGAAAGCGUGGGGAGCAAAC